rnacentral:rRNA from 1 species
GAUGAACGCUAGCUACAGGCUUAACACAUGCAAGUCGAGGGGUAACGAGAGGAAAGCUUGCUUUCCUUGUCGACGACCGGCGCACGGGUGAGUAUCGCGUAUCCAACCUGCCCCCAACUAAGGAAUAACCUUGCGAAAGUAAGACUAAUACCUUAUAAUUUCCUCAGAUGUCAUCUGACGAGGAAUAAAGAUUUAUCGGUUGUGGAUGGGGAUGCGUCUGAUUAGCUUGUGUGCGGGGUAAUGGCCCACCAAGGCAACGAUCAGUAGGGGUUCUGAGAGGAAAGUCCCCCACAUUGGAGCUGAGACACGGUCCAAACUCCUACGGGAGGCAGCAGUGAGGAAUAUUGGUCAAUGGGCGAAAGCCUGAACCAGCCAAGUAGCGUGCAGGAUGACGGCCCUAUGGGUUGUAAACUGCUUUUAUACAGGAAUAAAGUUAGCCACGUGUGGUUAUUUGUAGGUACUGUAUGAAUAAGGACCGGCUAAUUCCGUGCCAGCAGCCGCCGUAA